CGACGUUUGCGACAGAGUUGUGUGCAGCCACUUUGAAAUAUUUCGUUGAAUUAUUAAGAACUUAAGAAUCAGUAGUGCGAUGAAUGUUGUGUUUAGCGUGUUUGGCGAAAUGAUUGUGCAUAAUGACAGAAGUACGUAUCGCCUGAAACUAGAUCUGUGUGAUGCUCAGGCGUCUGCAUAUAUUCCAUUGAGACCUGCGAUACGAGGCUCACUACGUGACAGACGUCAUCAUUGGAACCCUGGAAAUUGGCGGACCAGGUAGUGAAAUACAUUGUAGAUUCAGUGAAGACGGAGGAUGUGAGGGCAAUUGAAGCCCCUUAGGAACAGUUCUCGUGCAUCGAAAUGGAAGGACAGCUGGCCUUCAUAAAGGCAAAUUUCGGCUCCUUGACAGAAGGAAUUCAGUGCUUGCAGGAGAAAGGAGCAAUGCUAGAAGACUCACUCGCUCUGGUGAAAAAAAUAGCCAGUAAUUUGGAGAAAGUGUCAGGUGACAUUGGUAAAAUGGUGUCAAGAAAAAUGAAGUGUUCUGGAUAAGAACCCAGGUUAUGAAACAUUAUGCAACAUUUCUCGAAUUCUGUCAGAGUCCUUCAGCGCUUUCAGCAUCGAAGAACUUACUGCUAGUGAUUUGGUACACUUCAAGUAUGCUCCCAUUGUGUCUGCAGAUGUGGAAAAGAGAUUCUCC